rnacentral:rRNA from 1 species
CAUGUGGUUUAAUUCGAUGAUACGCGAGGUAACCUUACCCGGGCUCGAACGGUGCAGGAAUAUGGUAGAGAUAUCAUAGCUAGCAAUAGUCUGUAUCGAGGUGCUGCAUGGUUGUCGUCAGCUCGUGCCGUGAGGUGUCGGCUUAAGUGCCAUAACGAGCGCAACCCUUGUCGUUAGUUACCAUCAAGUAAAGUUGGGGACUCUAGCGAGACUGCCACCGUAAGGUGUGAGAAGGGGGGGAUGACGUCAAAUCAGCACGGCCCUUACGUCCGGGGCGACACACGUGUUACAAUGGUAGGUACAGAGGGGCGCUAUCCAGUGAUGGAGUGCGAAUCUCAAAAACCUAUCUCAGUUCGGAUUGGAGUCUGCAACUCGACUCCAUGAAGUUGGAUUCGCUAGUAAUCGCGCAUCAGCCAUGGCGCGGUGAAUACGUUCCCGGGCCUU